CCCCGGCGCCCACACAGCGCCUGUCCGUUGGCAUUUCUUAACGCUCCUCGUGCAGAAAUCACAACCCGGGCCAAGAGGCGCGAAACAAACCCCACCGAACCCCGUUUUUUCAACGCUUAUUUCAAGCGCUUCAAAACCGCCCGGGCCAAGCGAUUACAAAAUAGCCCCACAAACGCUGCGCCGACCGCAGCCCUCAGAUGACAGUUGGUAAUGGCAGUGAAAAGCAUGCCCAGACUCAGGAGAACAACACAUGUGCUGAGAUCAGAUCUCCCCGGGACAAGUUUAUCUGGCCUUCCCAUGGAAAAAAGGCAAAGUACCACUGGAACACUACAAGCCUCACAGACAUUUAGGUUCUCUUAAAGAGGCAAGUUGUCUUCCAAGCCUGUGGGAAUGAAGGCAGCCUGUGAACUGCAUUGCUGUGUGCUCGUCAUUGCUGUGAGUGUGCACUUGUCCAAAAGCAAAAAUUCUGAUGCAGCAUUCAGUGACCUCUUGAAGUUUUCGAUGCCAUGGAUUGCUUAAAGCUUGUGGUAAUGCUACAGGCCAUAGGGCACGGUUAUUCCUUUUUAAUAUGACAUGACUUCUGUUUCCAGAAGACACAUUUCUUUUGGUAUAUGAACACACAUUUUGUUACCCCCUCUGGGAGACUUCUGCAAAGAUCCAGCUUAGAUCUUCCUUUUAUUUUUAAGUGGUUUGCAUGCCUAGUCGAUACCCUACUGUUAUCCUCAGAGGGCAUUAAUGUUUAUUAAUAAACCCAAUGGUACUAUCAAA